rnacentral:rRNA from 1 species
AUGAGCGAUCUCCCGCCGGCGCCGGCGAUGGGGGGCGAGCGGGACAUCGAGCUGGGCCUUCCCACCACCAACACCACAUCAGGCUACACGCUUCAGCACAUUCUCGAAGACAUCCGCCAGUUUUCGACGCUGCUGGGCAGCACGCCCAAGAUGCUUCACAAGCUCAAGGAAGCCAACAAGGAGUUGAAAUCGGCCGCUGAAUCUGCUGCAGUCAAAGAAAUCAAGGGGCGCAUGGAGAAAGACAUGGACGAGGCGGUGAAGAUGGCACGGAUCAUGAAAGAGAAGCUAAGCAGAAUCUUCCAAGGCGUGCUGGUUCCAGUUCUGAACAAUAUGUCAACUGGUCAUGCAUAUCCAGGGCUCACGGUUCCUGUCACCCUGGACCCGUCAACACUGUCCAUGAUCACGGCACUGAAGAUAAAGCUUAAGGAAAGAAAGAAAGAUCUUAAGAAUCUGGGAAAAGCUAUGCAGGAAGAGUACAUAGAAGUGGUUCAGAGCAGGAUUUUCACAGUCACCGGAGUAAAGCUCUCUGAUAAGGUGAUUCGCGUGAUCGACACCAACAGCAUCACGCAGAUGUUUGAGCACAGAGUUCAUGGAAUAGGUCCAGAGCAGGCCGGCGCCAUAGGGGAGGAAAUCAAGGAGCGGCGCGGUGCCGCCAUGGAUCUCGGCAAGAAGGCUGUUGAGGUGCGAAAGAAUUUCAGGGAGAUGCUGGCGCUUGUCAAAGCGCAAGAGAAGAUAGUCAAGGCACUGAGUCAGGUCCGUCAGAGUGCUGCGGUCCGUGCACGAUCUAUUGCGGAGGAGCUGGCCCGUGCGCGAUCUAGGGCCGAGGAGCUGCGCCAGAAGAUGGAGGAGACAAAGCUGCUCAUCGUACUGUUUGUGAUCUUCUUGUUGUUGUUCAUCGUCGCGGUUACUCUCGGAAUCUCCGGCUGA